rnacentral:misc_RNA from 1 species
CAACCCCUAAGCACAGCUUAUUGUUGGGACUCUACGGCUUCCGUAGUUCCUCAAAGACAUUGGCGGAGUGGCAGCAGUCCUCUGAGCGUAGUAAUUUUUUAUCUCGCUUCUGUUAGGUGCUGUCCCCCCGGCCGUAAAACCCCCAAUUUUUUCU